GCUGGUAGUACGAGGCUAGCGGCGCGGCCUUUGAUUCUUGGUAGUCAAUGGACAUGUUGCAACCGUGAUUUUGACAUAAACGAAGUGCUGCGUUUUUGCGCAUCUCUCGAGCAGUAACCUGCACCGUUUAUUCAAAGGGGCCCCCAGUUUUGAACAUCGUCUGCUGAACGUUGUUUUCUCUGUGCAAAUCGACUUCAAAUAGAUUGGACGGCAGAACGUACCUUGGGGUAUUUUGCUGCAGCAAUGGAUUUCAGUAUACUUUGACACAUAAUUAUGUCAUCAAGACUCAUGUCACAAACAAUUGGUUAUUCAUAAUACAUAGUAACAAGAGUUGUGAUCAACUAUGCAGUUUACAUUGUGCAAGUUAGUGGUCCAAGUUGAGAGAGUAGUGAACAGUCUAUCAUCUUCCUGCAUUUUGUUGACCUUUGGAGAUACUGUCUUUCAAAGAGUGAGGUCUUUUGAUUGAGUUGUUUUUUAGUUGAACUGGUAUAAAAUACCUGUCAUCUUUUUCAGUCUCUUUUUGAUUUUUAGUAACAGCUGCAGGGGCUCGUCCAGGAGGUGCUGCUGCUUUCCCUCUGUGUAUUGAUUUUCUUCUUCCAGCUGAUUUGGCUUGAAUAGGGAUCCUCCUACCUCGCCGCAAAACUCCGUAAUUCUUUCGGUUGACACGGCCCCCAAAGCACCAACCGAAUUUAUGGAAAGCUGUAAUCAGACGAGAGUUUGUGGAUUUGGUGGAUAGUUUAUUGUAUGUUGUAAUAAACUUUUCUAUGCUUUGCUGGAACAUAACAUCAGCCCUCAGUUGCUUUUUAAUAUCUUCGGAUAUUAAUUAAGUCAACUACCUGACAGAGUUGGUCUUGUUGCUGUGUUUCUUGUUUUAGAGAGACAGUGGUAUCAGAAUCAUGCUCUUUGUUGCACUGCUUUGUGUCAUCAUCUACACACCAUUGUGGCUGUAGAUAUUCUGAUUGCGCAUACCAGCCAGUUGAAAUGUAGUGCUGCUGCUGCUUCUCCUGCUGCUGUGUUGGUGAUGGUGGUGACUCGCAUGAUUUCUUUGUUGUGUCAACUGGCUUACUGAUUAGCGUAUAGAAGGACAAAUCUUCUACACAUUCCUUGCCAUAUGCAAUGUAUGCCAACUUCCAUUUGUCUUCAGGGUUGAGAGCAGGAAUGCAGUUUACUGUUGUGCACCCAAAGUGCAACACAACUGCUGCUUGGUGACUACACGGUGACCCAU